rnacentral:misc_RNA from 1 species
GGAAGUAAAAGUUGUAACAAGGUUUCCGUAGGUGAACCUGCGGAAGGAUCAUUCAUAAUAAAGUGUUUUAUGGCACUUUUUAAAAAUCCAUAUCCACCUUGUGUGCAAUGUUAGAUCUCGUCAAUCUUGGCGAGAUUUUUAUACAUCAACUCAUUCUUUAACUAAUUUGUCUGAAAAAUAUUAUGAAUACUUAAUUCAAAAUACAACUUUCAACAACGGAUCUCUUGGCUCUC